UAGGGAAUCUUCCGCAAUGGACGCAAGUCUGACGGAGCAACGCCGCGUGAGUGAAGAAGGAUUUCGGUUCGUAAAACUCUGUUGUUAGAGAAGAACAGCGCAUAGAGUAACUGUUAUGCGUGUGACGGUAUCUAACCAGAAAGCCACGGCUAAUUCCGUGCCAGCAGCCGCGGUAAUACGUAGGUGGCAAGCGUUGUCCGGAUUUAUUGGGCGUAAAGCGAGCGCAGGCGGUCAAUUAAGUCUGAUGUGAAAGCCCCCGGCUCAACCGGGGAGGGUCAUUGGAAACUGGUUGACUUGAGUGCAGAAGAGGAGAGUGGAAUUCCAUGUGUAGCGGUGAAAUGCGUAGAUAUAUGGAGGAACACCAGUGGCGAAGGCGACUCUCUGGUCUGUAACUGACGCUGAGGCUCGAAAGCGUGGGUAGCAAACAGG
rnacentral:rRNA from 1 species